UACAGAGGGGGCAAGCGUUGUUCGGAAUUACUGGGCGUAAAGGGCGCGUAGGCGGCCUGCUAAGUCGAACGUGAAAUCCCCGGGCUCAACCCGGGAACUGCGUCCGAGACUGGCGGGCUCGAAUUCGGGAGAGGGAUGCGGAAUUCCAGGUGUAGCGGUGAAAUGCGUAGAUAUCAGGAGGAACACCGGUGGCGAAGGCGGCUAUCUGGACAGAGUCUGACGCUGAUGCGCGAAAGCUAGGGGAGCAAACAGG
rnacentral:rRNA from 1 species